CAGUGUGUGUCGUGGUGACCUCUCCAUAGCCCUAGCGUCCCCGGCGGGCACAGUGUCUCUGCUCCUGGCCACGCGGAGCAACGAUGACUCGGCCGCCGGCCUGAGGAACUGGACCCUGAUGAGCGUCCAGUCCUGGGGGGAACACCCUCACGGCGCCUGGACACUCAAGAAGAGCCCCUGCAGAGUUUUUUGUCCAUGGGGGCAUACCACCAUGUCCCUCGAGCGGGGUUGUAUGUUCGGGACAGGUACCCACCUCAGGACCUGAUCCAGAGGGCCUUUGAGCUAGAGAGAGACAGGAAGGUGGGCACUGAUGACAUCCCCGUCCCGCGUCAACGCAAGAAUUCCGAACUGGUUCAUCAUCCGGUGCAGUCCUUCAAUGUUCUGGAUCUGGAUGAUACUGACGGAGCAGACCUCCACUCCCACCUAAAGCUCAUGUGGAACACUCUCAGGGAUAAAGUGAAGACUAACUGGUUUCUCUAUAAGUCCAUUACAGGGAAUCAGUCUCCACAGUUAAGAUGGGCAGACAUUGCCCUGCAGAACUUCCUGGGGGCAGGACCAGUGGUGGGGGUGGAGCCUCCUGGGAUGAUGCAUAAACGCCGUGACAGUGUGGGUGGAGUCACCAGGUCCUCACCACCUCCAAAAAGGACACGGCUAUUGCAUGAUGUCGCCGUGGACGUCCGAGAGAUGCCCCUUACGGAUCUUCUCCGAACCAGCAGAGCAACGGCACGCAGGGCAGACCGUGGGCAGGGGCAGAGCAGGGGCACCGGCCAGUGAGGGCAAGGGGUAGAGUUGAAAAAGCAUCUCUCAGCCCUGGUCCAACAGAGACUGUAAAGAGAACUAUGGGAUCUGUGUGUUUACAUUUGCCUAAAUGUGAGAGCGAGAGAAAGACAUUUUCUACAUAGCCUUAAUAAAGAGGAUGAGGUUUGUGAAUAAAAUACAUUCUCACAAAAACGUUUUUGUUUAGAAAAUAAAUAAUUCUGCACAAUUCUCAAUAACCACCUUCUGUUUUGACUCGUGCUGCCAAAGUUGUAAAGGUUUAUGAAAGCUACAUUUGUGUUUUUGUUUUUAAUUCAUGGAAGUGUGAAUUCAGCUCAGGAAAUGAAUUACAUUCUCAUUAACUGACUGUGUCAUUCCUCAUUGGGUUGGACAAACAACAAAUGACAUUUCAGCUGUCUAAUUUAUCCCUGUCCUCCACUGAUCUCAAAUAACCACAUGAUAAUCCAGAUAAUAGCAAUUUGAACGCUCUCGGCCUUUAAUCAAUACAUUUUCUUAAAAUGCGCACUGACAAAGAAACAAAUAAUUGGUUGGCUCAUGUCCUCAAUGUUUUCAGGACCCAAAUUUCCACUUGUAAUGGAGGGACACGGUUUUAUAAGUACUCGUAUAAGACAAUACAAUCACACAUUGGGCAUAGAGGAGUGAGAUACAUUGUUUUAUUAAGGCGAGGUCUAACACAACCAUCUACACACUUGAUAACAGUAACAUGGUAGGUAGGCCUAGCCCGUUUGAUUUUAACAAGAGUCUCAAAACAUUUAUCAAAACAAAACAACAUGAUCAAAAAGUUUAUUUCCCAAGAUGUGGUUUGUGAACAUAAGAUCUUUCUCCCAGAUGACCAUGGUACCGCUGUGAAGUACCUCUACCGUAUUGACACGGCUAUAUUGAUGUUUCAAUUAGAAUAGCGUUACAUAGCGCAGCAGCAUGGUAACACAGCAUCACCAACCAUCUGCUCCGACUCCACGUCUGACGAACGAGGCACGUGGGGCUAAUCGAGCCGCACAUGAGCGAUGGGACCGCGAGAUCUCGCACACACGCAUGCACGCACACACACGUACAAAGAUAUACCAUCACUCUCUCACACAUACAUGGAUACAUAGACACACUCGGUCUGUCUCACACACACGUGUCCUUGCAGAGAAAGAAGGGAGGGAACCGAAGGGAGGCUCCUCACCCUCGAGUUCAGACACCCUAUAGGGACAACCUCUGAUUCCAUCUCUCCCUUUUCGUUUUGAUAGGAUCACCUAACAGGGUAAUAAUGCAUUGACAGGGAAGAGAGAAUCAUACCAGAUGUGUGUGGAGAAUUCUUCAAAAGCGCAUCCGACAAAAAGAUUUGAAAAGGAAAUGCUUUGUGCCAGGUUGGCGUGCUGGGAGGGUAUGAAAUAAUUCAGGGCAUUAUGCUUGGCAUUACUGUCUGCCAACCCUAGAAUCAAAGACAUGGUCGUGUGGAUUACCUCCCUAAUCUGUUGAUGCUUUUGAGGAGCGAUGCAGGUGUUUAUGUGCCAGAUUUUUUUGUGUGUGUAUUUUCGGGAGAAGUGUUAGGUUGUAAAUCUGCGUUAAAUGCUUUCUGGGGAAUAAGACAUGAUGAAAUGGAGCCAAGAGAUCUCACUGGAAGCGUGGCACGCUUUAUUUUAAAACAGCAUGCUGUUGAGAUAGUUGUAAUACCGCUGCCAAUGUGGAGGAGGAUAAUGUAGGCAUAUACACCACUUGUUGACUUACUUGACAGUUAUGGUAGGAGGAAACUACAACUUCUGAACUACUAGGCUACGAUCUAACAAUUUGCCAACUAACAAUACCUACUAACAUGUUUUUUUUUUACAACCAAUGCUAAAAAUACCUCCGUUUUAAAAGUUGAAAUGAACAAGAUCGCCAAUGGCACUAACCGAAAACUACAUCCAUAGCUCUAGGACCAACCCAUCUUAUUGUCGGGGGUGGUUAGUCUAAAGAUCAGCUCAUCAGUGGACUUCCAGAGAAGUAUACAUUGGGUAAUCCUCCCUUUUUCUCUUCACUGGGGUGGUCUCAUCCAGGUUUAAAGAGGGACAGAAUACACCUCCCACCACAAUAGAGUUGAACCACUGGGGCUCUGCUUGCUGAGGGGUGCAGCUUUAAGCAGGCCUUUGAGGGGCCUAAUUGCAUUGGAAUACAGGAGCCUGAGAGCUUGGCUCUGAUCACACCGACAUGUGGAGGGCUCGCUCCCCAGCACCUCCAGAGCCAUACUUUGCCAAACCCUUCACAAUACACACAAUUAAUACUCUCCAUGCUCUCCCUCUCCCUACUCUACCGCUCUUUCUCUUUUCGUCACUCCUUUCUUUCUGUCUUUCUUUCUUUCGUUCUCUCCCUCUCGAUCUCUCACUCGUAUGCGCACACACACACACGCACUAUUAAUUCUCACGCAACCUGUCAAUCCAAUUUCCUUUGAUACAUACACCAAUUACAGCAUGGACUAUAUGUAAGAGCUGUAGGGGGAAAAAAUGGGUCAACUUAACACACACCAAUCCUUACACAAGUAGCCUGUACUACUAGUUGAAUAAUGUACCGGUAUGUAAUUACCUUGCAAAAAGCUAGUAAGUAUAUGCAGUUAAUUCAUCUCUGUAUGGUGACAUAACCUGACCACUGAAAGGUAGCAACGGUCCAAUGCAGUGGGAUAUUGGUCUGGAUAUAGCUAAGGUUUUCAAGGACAUGUUUCAUUGGUUUUACAUAUCAGACUACCUGUUACCUCCAUGUUAAAUUAUGACUGUGUCUAAGUCGAAAUCCUUUCUAUUCAUUUCUAACCUAUGGCAUGAGAAUUAUAAGCAUUGUAUUUCCUCCAGUUCAGUACAAUUGGAGGAGGGGGCAGGAAGUGGUCACAGGCAUGUCCUGAAUGUUAAUAUGGUAACAUCACAUCUACAUAAUGAAAAGUGAGGGAUUAGUCUAUGAGGCCAACAGGUCUGUCGUCAUCCUAAUUAUUAUAAAUUAGGGUUUUCCAGUGACACAAAAAAAAGAAUACCUACCAAUACGUUUUUUUCCCCCCGGAUGACCAUUUGUAAGAUUGCUUGCUGAAAGAGUGAGAUAGUAGGCUAGAUCAAGUGAGAUUAUGGAUCUUCCUGGUUUAAAGAGCGGUUGUGUACGUUAAUAGGCCUACUCUCUAAACGUGAAUCAAUGGAGUGUGUAUGGAACAAUUGAAGAUUUUAAAAACAUCAUAUAUUUAACUAACUCAUUAUUAGAUUUUUCAUUACAUGAACAAUUUAUGAAAUGUAAUUAUUUUCCCCCACAGCAUUUGAACACAAACGAGUUCUUGUGAAAAAUUCGCAGAGGGAUACGAGUUGAUGUAUGGGGAGACAGUUACCUAAUUAGACCGUUAAAAAUUGAAACUUUACAGCAUGCGGGUCAUAUAAUUACUGUUAAUUUAACGCUCAGAUUCUCCAUCGUUAAUUUUUAUUCCCUUAAAUGUUUGGCAGCAGCUCUUGGAGCACAGGAAUAUAUUCUACUGUAUGGGAAAGCACACUGCCCCCUCCGAAUGAAUUACCACGGACCCCGCAGUCCAAAUAACAAGACUCGCAUCAUUUAUGCGUUGUUAAGCCAUGUAAUUGAACGACCCAUAGUUUGCAUAUUACACCAUUAAAAUAAUGUGCUUUGCAUUUCUCCCAACACGACUAUUUAAGCCUGUGUGGCGAUGUGGUAAUUCCUUGAAUUACAGCCCUAAUUACCACAAAUGUUCUUUUGAUUUGGAUGGUUUCAGUGUUACGCCACAAUGAUGAUAUAAAACAAAUUAAUUACUGAACCAUGCCUUGAAACUUUUGUGCUUGGACGUUAAUCCUUUCAUAUUUGCACUGUGUGAUAUGCACAGUCUAUUUGAUUAUGUUUAUAUUCAUAUAUUAAUAAGGAUUAUUUGCUGCGACAUGUCAAGAGAAUACUCAGGUCAAACUAUUGGUAUAAUGGAUGGAUGCACAAAUCUGUGGAUAAUGCCAUUCAGUCAACCCGGAUUGUUAAUCUACACUCUUAUGAAAAAAAAGUUCUGGAUAAAACCGGAAAGGGUUCUAUGCUUGCAUCAUAUAUGGCAUCCCUUAAGGUUCUAUAUAUAACCGAAAUUGGUUCCAUAUAGAACCCUAUAUGGAACCAAGUUUGGUUCAGUGAAGAAGAACCUUAGAAUCUAGAACCUUCAGGUGUGCCAUAUAUGAAGCAAGCGAUAUAAAUAACCCUUUUUGGAUUUAUCCAGAACCUUUUUUUGUGUAUUGAACUAAUCAGAAAAUUGAUUACCAGUAAACUGUUCCACGCUAAAUGAAAGAUUGUUUCGAUUAUCCAAUAAUGGUACCUAUUUUAAUAGGCCUAUAUGCCUUUAUGAUGUGCAUUGACGGUUUGUUGAGCUUGUAUAGGCUACCUUUUGAUCGUUAGCUUUUUUAAAUAUUCGAUUGAAUUCAUAUUAGAUUUCAAUCUAUUUUAGUCCCCCCC
rnacentral:lncRNA from 13 species